rnacentral:rRNA from 1 species
GAUGAACGCUAGCGGAAGGCUUAAUACAUGCAAGUCGAGCGGUAGGUGGCUUCGGCCAUUGAGAGCGGCGCACGGGUGAGUAACGCGUACAUGACCUGCCUGUCAGAAGGGGAUAGCCCUGGGAAACUGGGAUUAAUACCCUAUGGUAUUGAUAUUAUGAAUGAUAUCAAUUAAAGUUGAGGCGCUGACAGAUGGAUGUGCGUCUGAUUAGCUAGUUGGUAGGGUAACGGCUUACCAAGGCGACGAUCAGUAGGGGGCGUGAGAGCGUGGUCCCCCACACGGGUACUGAGACACGGACCCGACUCCUACGGGAGGCAGCAGUAAGGAAUAUUGGUCAAUGCCCGCAAGGGUGAACCAGCCAUUCCGCGUGGAGGAUGAAGGCCCUAUGGGUUGUAAACUUCUUUUAGAUGGGAAGAAAUGCUAGAUGUAUCUGGUACUGACGGUACCAUCAGAAUAAGCACCGGCUAACUCCGUGCCAGCAGCCGCGGUAA